UGAAUAUGGCAGCCUUGUGCUCAAAAUCAGCAGGGAUCCCAAAGCUUCGACUAUGGCGGAGGUGCUCAAGGCUUGUGAAGGAGAAGAAAACACGGUUUUACAUUAUAUGGAGAUGUACGGUGCUGCUUCUACGUUGGGAGGAGUGAAGUUUUGAAGGUUUAACUUUAGCUGGAAUAUUUAGAAUCUUUGUAUAUUUGCAGCGCAAAUGAUGGCUUGCUUAGGUAGAACGUAUACAGAUUUGUACAAGAUGUAGUAAUUGUAAAAUGUGAGGUGUUUGCUUU